GUGAGGAAUAUUGGUCAAUGGACGAGAGUCUGAACCAGCCAAGUCGCGUGAAGGAAGACGGUUCUAUGAAUUGUAAACUUCUUUUGUGCAGGAAUAAAGUACGGUACGUGUACCGUUUUGUAUGUACUCUGCGAAUAAGGAUCGGCUAACUCCGUGCCAGCAGCCGCGGUAAUACGGAGGAUCCAAGCGUUAUCCGGAUUUAUUGGGUUUAAAGGGUGCGCAGGCGGGUUGAUAAGUCAGCGGUGAAAGUUUGCAGCUUAACUGUAAAAUUGCCGUUGAAACUGUCGAUCUUGAGUGCAAAUGAGGUAAGCGGAAUGUGUUGUGUAGCGGUGAAAUGCUUAGAUAUAACACAGAACACCGAUUGCGAAGGCAGCUUACUGGGAUGCAACUGACGCUCAUGCACGAAAGCGUGGGGAUCAAACAGGAUUAGAAACCCUUGUAGUCC
rnacentral:rRNA from 1 species